ACUGCCUUAAUCCACUUGGCUACGUCCGCC
rnacentral:tRNA from 1 species